CUGCGCUGCGGCGUGGCCAGGCGUCAUGGACUUGUCUUUUCACUUAUUCUCCUGUCGUGCUUAUUUUGCCGAGUUCGGAGCGCUUGUUAUCGGCUGUCUGUGCGGAUCUACCCUCGUGGGCAUCAAUGUCUUGUUUCGUGAUGGGUUUUGCUUGCCCCGCCGAUACUCGCUAUCGUCGGUGCAGCUGAUGUGUCUGGCUUAUUCAUUGUGCGGUGGUGGGCAAACGCCCUUGUGCCGCACUUGGUUUAUGCCGGGCUCUCAUGGAUGCGGUGCCCCAUUUGAGGUGUAUGUGGGCCGUUGGUUCCUCUGACUUCCUCGGGAGGUCCCAUGUGCGGAUCGUGGCUCUGUCGCUCUGCUCUCUCGUUGCGGAUUGCUGGAGCAGCGCGUGCGGGGUGCGAUCUUGUGCAUGCGAGAUGUUUGUCCGUUUGUAUGAUCGAUUGCUGGCUCACGUCGUCGCAGCGGGCUCCCGUUUGGGGCGCGCCGGAGCGAUGCGUCGGCUCUCGUUUAAGAUGUGCUACCUGGUUGAUCCUGCCAGUA
rnacentral:misc_RNA from 1 species